CGUAGGUGGCGAGCGUUGUCCGGAAUGACUGGGCGUAAAAGGGCGUGUAGGCGGUCCUGUAAGUCUGGGGUGAAAAACCGGCGGCUCAACCCGCCGGCCCUGCCCCUGGAAACUGCGGGGCUAGAGUGGGCUAGAGGGCAGACGGAAUUCCCGGUGUAGCGGUGAAAAUGCGUAGAGAUCGGGAGGAACACCAGUGGCGAAGGCGGCUGCCUGGGGCCUAACUGACGCUGAGGCGCGAAAAGCUGGGGGGAGCAAAACAGGAUU
rnacentral:rRNA from 1 species